UAUGAUUUUAAGAAUUAUGGGUAUAGGACUGUAACCAACCUGCCAGGGUUCCUUCAUGAGAAAGGGUGACUGGCAGAGAAGAUCUGGUAGUGCUGAAGAGGAGAUGAACCUUUUCAAGCUGGUGAUAAUGAACUGGAGGAAUGAGAUUCUGAGAACCCUCUGUCAGAAGGCUCGUGUCCUGGGACAGGAUAAGUUGGGGACCAGACGAAGUUGGCUCAAGUGGGCCUCUAAAUGCAUUGGCGAAGCCGUGGAAGUGGCGGAGAGCGGUGCCAUAGGAGCAGAACUGAAGUGAGAGAUCCAGCCUUACUGUGUGAGGGGACAGGGAGCUAAGGUAAAGGCUGUGCUGGUCACCUUGUGAUCUCCCUGGGAGCGCUAAGUGCUGGGGGUCAUCUUUACCGAGAGCCCAACAGCGUGCUCAGGGGACAAGCUCCCAGCGUGCUAAUCCGGCAUUCCGAAGGGGAGCAGGAAUGGGGCGCUUGCCGAGAAACAUGCGUGCUUGGGGGGGAAGUACGUAGCAUUUACCUAAAGCAGCAGGCAGGGCGUGUCGGACGGUGCUUUUUAAACAGGAGGGCUGGGAGCUGAAACCAGAACAUUCCCUGGCAAUUGGAGAAAGUUCUGAGGAAAGUGCAGUGUGAGCGGCAGGACCCCCUCCCCCUGCCUAGAGUGGAGACAAAGAACAGGCAAGGAGGGAACUGAAAUAGGAAGCAGGAACCAUGUCAGGAGACUGGGGACUAAAAGAAAGCAAAUUAAAAAGCCAGUAUGAACCGCUGGGGGGAAAGGCACGCAACUGACUGAAGCCACUAGGAAAGAUAAGCGAAUUCCAGAUUCUUUAACUGCUGCAAGUGUGUGCACAUGCAGCCUGGCUAGUGUGUUUAAAUAUAAUCCUUUUCUUCACCACAGCAAGUACAACUCUUGGUUUAUGGCACACUAACAGACUAACAGGAUGGGAGCACUGCAUUAUACAUGUAAUAGAGUGCGUGUUCAUCAACAUCGCUACCACUCAAACAACCUCAGAUUUCCCAAAAUACACGUUCAUAUCACGGCACGUGCAUACGUAAUGCAGUAAUAAAAAGCUACCGGCAGUAUUCUGCCUGCGGUGUAGUCAGCUUCCAGCAGAAGGAAGAGAAACCCAGCAUACAGGCUGAGGGCAGCGCGUGGCCUUAAGUGUUAAUGUAAUAUAGCAUUUUGGAAGUUGGAAGCUUGGUGCGCUCAUUUGCACAUCAGUACCCAGAAUGCUUUUUCGGUUCCACCACUGUUUAAUUCAAGUGCUGGGUUCAAGCUCUUGGAACGCUCCAGUUUGAGAUGCCCUUGCAUGUGCUGAGUUCAGUAUUUUCCACUGAAUAGUUUAAGUGACAAUACUGGAUUGUGAAUGGGUCAUCCAAGGAUUCUUAAUUAGCCUUGAUGUUCCACAUGCAAAAAACUGCCCUUGAACGCUUUCAAAACGCAUUGUCUUUAACAAAGCAAAGAACCUAGUUUUGCAAGAGCGCGUGUUUGGGGGAAAACAUUUAUUCAAAAGUAAGCAACAAUUUUUCUGAGACGGAAAGCAAAUUUCAGCUGAACGUGACUGAUGAUAAUGCUGCUGCUGCUGCUGCUUAAAGAGGAGCUCUUCGUACCGAGCGCGUGAUCACCCAGGGGAGGUUCAGCACCGGGCCGGUGCAGGCAGCCCCCGGCAGCGGCCCGCAGCCUUUCGGGGCGGCUUCCCCGGGGCCAGCGGCAGCCUGGCAGCGCGGGCGUGGGAACGGCGGGGCAGCGGAGGCCCCGCGGGGAGGCCGUUCCCCCAACAUGGAGGCAGCGCUCGAGGCUGCGCCUCCCGCAGCCCCCUGCCCGCGGGUACCGCUUCUCCCAGCCGCUCCUGGCGGGGGGAAUCUCUGCACCGGGGGAGAAGGGGGUGAA